UGAAGAAGCUCCAGAUUAUGGGAUUCAGAAGUCGAUGGGCACCGACAAGACAAGAUCUUGAAAGCUUCCUCAGACAAAAAUAUUAUACUGCCAAGCUCGACCCUCAAUGGAAUGGGUUGGCUUUCUUGGUGCCUCUGUCGCAUGCCUCCAUAAACAAAAUGAGGGGAGCUGCUGAGGUGCGUGGAAAGUUGUCAUUAAUUUGGUUUUAUCUUCAAGAUUCUCCGAGCUGUCAAUUCUCUCUUGGUCUGGUUGCUGAUCCACCCUCACGUUGCUAGCCACUCACUCGCCCCCCACCGCCAGCCAACAGGUUUGCAUGAAGCCAAGACAAUGAGCAAAAGUGGUGUGGGGAGCAGCUUUUUGUUGGGACUUGCAAGGCUGUGGUGGAUGGUUGUGUGUGUGUUCAAGUGAGAGUGAGGCCAGCGAUAAGGCCAAAACUGUCAGGUCUUCUAGCUGUUACAUUUUUCACAAAGGCUAACGCCGAACUGGAAAUGCAAAUGAGAUAAUUUUUUAGUGUUUUAUCUGCAUUUUUGUUUGAGUAGUACU